GGCUAACGCUGGCGGCGUGUCUUAGCCAUGCAAGUCGAGCGGACUUAUGGGGUAACUUAUAAGUCAGCGGCGGACGGCGGAGUAACACGUAGCUAACCUACCCUCUGGACGGGGAUAACCUACCGAAAGGUGGGCUAAUACCCGAUGUAGUCAUCCUGUAUAGGGGUGAUGAAAGGUGGGCUUCUGUUUACAAGCUCAUGCUGGAGGAGGGGGCUGCGGCCUAUCAGGUAGUUGGUAGGGUAAUAGCCUACCAAGCCGAUGACGGGUAGCCGGCCUGAGAGGGUGACCGGCCCGAGGGGCACUGAGAUACGGGUCCCACUCCUACGGGAGGCAGCAGGCUAGAAAUUUGGGCAAUGGGGGAAACCCUGACCCAGUGACGCCGCGUGCAGGAAGGAGCCCUUCGGGGUGUAAACUGCCGUCGUGUAGGGAGAAGGGUACUAAGGUGAACAAUCUUAGUACUUGACGGUACUACAGGAGGAAGCCCAGGCUAACCUCGUG
rnacentral:rRNA from 1 species